rnacentral:tRNA from 1 species
GGUUUGUGGCUCAGUGGCAGAGCGCUUGCCUAGCAUGCAUGAGGCCCUGGGUUCAAUCCCCUGCACCA